rnacentral:rRNA from 1 species
UAGGGAAUAUUGCACAAGGGCGAAAGCCUGAUGCAGCAACGCCGCGUGCGCGAAGAAGGCCUUCGGGUUGUAAAGCGCUUUUCGGGGAGAUGAGGAAGGACAGUAUCCCCGGAAUAAGGCUCGGCUAACUACGUGCCAGCAGCCGCGGUAACACGUAGGAGCCAAGCGUUAUCCGAAUUCACUGGGCGUAAAGCGCGUGCAGGCGGCUCGGUAAGUUGGAUGUGAAAUCUCCUGGCUCAACUGGGAGGGGACGUUCAAUACUGUCGGGCUAGAGGACGGCAGAGGGAGGUGGAAUUCCCGGUGUAGUGGUGAAAUGCGUAGAUAUCGGGAGGAACACCAGUGGCGAAGGCGGCCUUCUGGGCCGUACCUGACGCUCAGACGCGAAAGCUAGGGGAGCGAACGGGAUUAGAAACCCCGGUAGUCCUAGCCGUAAACGAUGUAGACUUGGUGUAGGUGGUGUAAAAGCCAUCUGUGCCGAAGCCAACGCGAUAAGUCUACCGCCU